CUCCAGAGAAGAAGAAAGAGUCGAAGCUCUCAUGCUCACAAUGCCCGUGGGAAUGAAUACAGAUGUGAACUUCAACUGCUGGAUGUCUCACAGCUGAAAAUGCUAAGUUUUUCUCUAGAUUUCAACAUGCAAGUACCACAUUGUGGAAGCUGCUUUUCCUGCCUAUUGGAGUUAUGGCCUUGAAGUUUACUCUGAUGGACCCAAGUAUGGGCUUCUGCUGUAACAGGAAGGGUUACUUACCCACACCUGGAGGCUAAGUGUGGCCAUAUGACUUGCAUUGUCCAAUGAAACAUGAGGAUAUGUGACUUGUGUCAUCCCUAGAUGUGCACAUCUGCACGUUGUCUCCAGCUGCUGUGGCAAAUGCAGAAGCCUCUUGUUGAGAUGGAGGAGAUAGUGGGGCCUCCGUCUGCCUGAGGCCCUGAGUGACUUCAAUGAGUAGAACCAUGCUGUUGACUCCUAGUGAUAUGAAGUAUGAGUCAGAAAUAAAGCUUUGCUACUUUUAGC
rnacentral:lncRNA from 1 species